rnacentral:rRNA from 1 species
UGGGGAAUUUGGACAAUGGGCGAAAGCCUGAUCCAGCAAUGCCGCGUGUGUGAAGAAGGCCUUCGGGUUGUAAAGCACUUUUGUCCGGAAAGAAAUCCUUGGCUCUAAUACAGUCGGGGAUGACGGUACCGGAAGAAUAAGCACCGGCUAACUACGUGCCAGCAGCCGCGGUAAUACGUAGGGUGCAAGCGUUAAUCGGAAUUACUGGGCGUAAAGCGUGCGCAGGCGGUUUGCUAAGACCGAUGUGAAAUCCCCGGGCUCAACCUGGGAACUGCAUUGGUGACUGGCAGGCUAGAGUAUGGCAGAGGGGGGUAGAAUUCCACGUGUAGCAGUGAAAUGCGUAGAGAUGUGGAGGAAUACCGAUGGCGAAGGCAGCCCCCUGGGCCAAUACUGACGCUCAUGCACGAAAGCGUGGGGAGCAAAACAGGAUUAGAUACCCUGGUAGUCCCACGCCCUAAAACGAUGUCAACUAGUUGUUGGGGAUUCAUUUCCUUAGUAACGUAGCUAACGCGUGAAGUUGACCGCCUGGGGAGUACGGUCGCAAGAUUAAAACUUAAAUGAAUUGACGGGGU